rnacentral:rRNA from 1 species
GAUGAACGCUGGCGGCGUGCCUAAUACAUGCAAGUCGAGCGAAGCGAGGACGGUUGAGUAAGACUUGGUUAACCUCCUAUACGUCUCGGUUAACUUCGGGUAACCCGUGCUAAACCUGCUACUUAUGUGUCGCUCCUCGCUGCAUUAGCUAUUUGGUAAGGUAACGGCUUACAAAGGCAACGAUGCAUAGCCGAACUGAGAGUGUGAUCGGCCACACUGGGACUGAGACACGGUCCAGACUCCUACGGGAGGCAGCAGUAGGGAAUCUUCCGCAAUGGGCGAAAGUCUGACGGAGCAACGCCGCGUGAGUGAAGAAGGUCUUCGGAUCGUAAAACUCUGUUAUUAGGGAAGCGGUACCUAAUCAGAAAGCCACGGCUAACUACGUGCCAGCAGCCGCGGUAAUAC